GACGAACGCUGGCGGCGUGCUUAACACAUGCAAGUCGAGCGGAAAGGCCCUUCGGGGUACUCGAGCGGCGAGCGGGUGAGUAACACGUGAGUAACCUGCCCCAGACUUUGGGAUAACCCUCGGAAACGGGGGCUAAUACCGGAUACGACACAGCUUCGCAUGGGGUCUGUGUGGAAAGUUUUUCGGUUUGGGAUGGGCUCGCGGCCUAUCAGCUUGUUGGUGGGGUGAUGGCCUACCAAGGCGACGACGGGUAGCCGGCCUGAGAGGGCGACCGGCCACACUGGGACUGAGACACGGCCCAGACUCCUACGGGAGGCAGCAGUGGGGAAUAUUGCACAAUGGGCGGAAGCCUGAUGCAGCGACGCCGCGUGAGGGAUGACGGCCUUCGGGUUGUAAACCUCUUUCAGCAGGGACGAAGCGUAAGUGACGGUACCUGCAGAAGAAGCGCCGGCCAACUACGUG
rnacentral:rRNA from 1 species